rnacentral:rRNA from 1 species
UGCAGUCGAGCGGUAGCACAGAGAGCUUGCUCUCGGGUGACGAGCGGCGGACGGGUGAGUAAUGUCUGGGAAACUGCCUGAUGGAGGGGGAUAACUACUGGAAACGGUAGCUAAUACCGCAUAACGUCGCAAGACCAAAGUGGGGGACCUUCGGGCCUCAUGCCAUCAGAUGUGCCCAGAUGGGAUUAGCUGGUAGGUGGGGUAACGGCUCACCUAGGCGACGAUCCCUAGCUGGUCUGAGAGGAUGACCAGCCACACUGGAACUGAGACACGGUCCAGACUCCUACGGGAGGCAGCAGUGGGGAAUAUUGCACAAUGGGCGCAAGCCUGAUGCAGCCAUGCCGCGUGUGUGAAGAAGGCCUUCGGGUUGUAAAGCACUUUCAGCGGGGAGGAAGGCGGUGAGGUUAAUAACCUUAUCGAUUGACGUUACCCGCAGAAGAAGCACCGGCUAACUCCGUGCCAGCAGCCGCGGUAAUACGGAGGGUGCAAGCGUUAAUCGGAAUUACUGGGCGUAAAGCGCACGCAGGCGGUCUGUCAAGUCGGAUGUGAAAUCCCCGGGCUCAACCUGGGAACUGCAUUCGAAACUGGCAGGCUAGAGUCUUGUAGAGGGGGGUAGAAUUCCAGGUGUAGCGGUGAAAUGCGUAGAGAUCUGGAGGAAUACCGGUGGCGAAGGCGGCCCCCUGGACAAAGACUGACGCUCAGGUGCGAAAGCGUGGGGAGCAAACAGGAUUAGAUACCCUGGUAGUCCACGCUGUAAACGAUGUCGAUUUGGAGGUUGUGCCCUUGAGGCGUGGCUUCCGGAGCUAACGCGUUAAAUCGACCGCCUGGGGAGUACGGCCGCAAGGUUAAAACUCAAAUGAAUUGACGGGGGCCCGCACAAGCGGUGGAGCAUGUGGUUUAAUUCGAUGCAACGCGAAGAACCUUACCUGGUCUUGACAUCCACAGAACUUAGCAGAGAUGCUUUGGUGCCUUCGGGAACUGUGAGACAGGUGCUGCAUGGCUGUCGUCAGCUCGUGUUGUGAAAUGUUGGGUUAAGUCCCGCAACGAGCGCAACCCUUAUCCUUUGUUGCCAGCGGUUAGGCCGGGAACUCAAAGGAGACUGCCAGUGAUAAACUGGAGGAAGGUGGGGAUGACGUCAAGUCAUCAUGGCCCUUACGACCAGGGCUACACACGUGCUACAAUGGCAUAUACAAAGAGAAGCGACCUCGCGAGAGCAAGCGGACCUCAUAAAGUAUGUCGUAGUCCGGAUUGGAGUCUGCAACUCGACUCCAUGAAGUCGGAAUCGCUAGUAAUCGUAGAUCAGAAUGCUACGGUGAAUACGUUCCCGGGCCUUGUACACACCGCCCGUCACACCAUGGGAGUGGGUUGCAAAAGAAGUAGGUAGCUUAACCUUCGGGAGGGCGC